rnacentral:rRNA from 1 species
AGCGCAGCCCUUCGUGCUUAGUUGCCAACAGGUUAAGCUGUGCACUCUAAACAGACUGCCGUGGAUAACACGGAGGAAGGUGGGGAUGACGUCAAAUCAUCAUGCCCCUUAUGAUCUGGGCUACACACGUGCUACAAUGGUCGGUACAACGGGCAGCGAAAGAGUAAUCUGGAGCGAAUCCUAAAAAGCCGAUCCCAGUUCGGAUUGUGGGCUGAAACUCGCCCACAUGAAGUUGGAGUUGCUAGUAAUCGCGAAUCAGAAUGUCGCGGUGAAUGCGUUCCCGGGUCUU